AAUUAAAGGAAUAUAUUUUUUAAUAAAAAAAUCAUUUUAUCUGUCAAAUAAAUUUGUUCAAAUUCCUUUAAAUUUAAAUUAAAUUUUUAAAAGAAAACCAAAACGGAAGACAAAUCGCUUUUAGAAAUAACAACAUUCAUGCCAGUCAAUUAUAACAGAAUAGAUUUCCUAGACAAGACUGUUAAUUCCAUAAAUUAAUUAGAGAUUACAGAAUGGGCUUGACAGUUUUUAAUUAGAGACAGAGCAUGGAUUGCAUUAUAAAAGCUAAGCGAUAUUGCCACUUGGGAAUGUUAUGUACAUGAGAUUAAAUUCUGACAUUUUUAAAUGACAACGUAAGCAAUUAGUUGAGACUCGGAACUUAUCACGUUGGAUGUUAUUUAGUAUUUGACGGGCCUUCAAGAUCUCCCAAAUUAAAUAAUUAAAUUUGGUUUAAGCAAAACAUGAAUGUGAUCUCUCUAAAAAAGAUGUUUUAAAAAAACAGCAGUCAUGACUGCAGGAAGAAUGAAGAAAAAAUCUUGUGUAGUUUUAAUUGCAAUAACCUGUAGGCCAUCGUUGGGGCAACUUGUUUUCGAAGUACGUUGAUUUUUUGCUUUAAACAUAUUUGAUCUUGAAAUUUUUAUAUCAAGGGGCACGGUAGUGCCCAGCCAAGUUCUCUAGCAACUUUGGCACUACACCCUUAUUUACAGGAAACAACUCAGGCCAUUUUCGACCCCCCCUCUAACUUCCACACCAAAGAUGCUAGAAAUUUCAAACUCGCUACAUUUGUUGAGCUGGUCAAAACCAAAUACCUCACAAAAUUUCAGCCUCCCACGAUGAGUAGUUUCUGGGAUAUAGGGCCUCAAAAAUCGCAAAAACCGUAACUGACUCACUGACCCACUGACAGAUCAUCAACAUUAUGGAGAACUUCCCGAUAUCGUAGAAACUUGAAAUUUUACACGGUGAUAGGACUUGUGGUGUAUACACAGGAAAAAAUCGAAAAUUUGAGAUUUUCAAUUCAGGGGGCGUGGCAUCCACCCAUUUCCGCUGAAUUUUCAUCAAAUAUUAUAGAGCACUUCUGAUUAUCGUAGAAUCUUGAAAUUUGGUAGAAUGGUUGAGAUGGUAGUUUAUACAAAGGAAACAAUUUAAAGUUUGAGAAUUUCAGCCAGGGGGCGUAGCAACCGCCCAUUUUCACUGAAUUUUCAUCAAAUAUAGAAAUUUUCAAUUCUACAGCCAUACCUUGAAAAAAGUAGUGAAAUCACAACUAAAAUAUUACUGUUAAAAAAAGAGCCAAGUUCUCCUAUGUUGAA